ACCAACCGGGAUUGCCUUAGUAACGGCGAGUGAAGCGGCAAAAGCUCAAAUUUGAAAUCUGGUACCUUCGGUGCCCGAGUUGUAAUUUGGAGAGGGCAACUUUGGGGCCGUUCCUUGUCUAUGUUCCUUGGAACAGGACGUCAUAGAGGGUGAGAAUCCCGUGUGGCGAGGAGUGCGGUUCUUUGUAAAGUGCCUUCGAAGAGUCGAGUUGUUUGGGAAUGCAGCUCUAAGUGGGUGGUAAAUUCCAUCUAAAGCUAAAUAUUGGCGAGAGACCGAUAGCGAACAAGUACAGUGAUGGAAAGAUGAAAAGAACUUUGAAAAGAGAGUGAAAAAGUACGUGAAAUUGUUGAAAGGGAAGGGCAUUUGAUCAGACAUGGUGUUUUGUGCCCUCUGCUCCUUGUGGGUAGGGGAAUCUCGCAUUUCACUGGGCCAGCAUCAGUUUUGGUGGCAGGAUAAAUCCAUAGGAAUGUAGCUUGCCUCGGUAAGUAUUAUAGCCUGUGGGAAUACUGCCAGCUGGGACUGAGGACUGCGACGUAAGUCAAGGAUGCUGGCAUAAUGGUUAUAU
rnacentral:rRNA from 1 species